AGCAGGCUAAGGAGGGCAGGGGGGUAAUCUCUUACUGGGUACAGUUGUAACUGAGAGAGGAAGUUAAAUCAGACCUUGGACAGUAGGUGUCAAGGAAAAAACCAGGGCUCAUAAUUCAUCAACAUGGACAUACAUCAAGCAGGAGUCCUGCCCGCCUUCACGCACAGCUUUCCCGCAGAAUAUGGAAGGAGGGCAGGAAUCAGCGAACAAUGAAUGCGCUCCACAAGCUACACACCUGCUGUAUUAAAAGCAUUGUAUGGCAAAUGUGGUCCCACAACCUGGAACAUAAAUUUCACUGGGCAGAGAGGCACAUCUUGGAGUACUGCCGCAGCUAUAUCGUUUCUCCAGGCGUAGCACUUAGAGAAUAAGAAGGAGCUGUCAGGAAUAAUCUGGAAGAGGAGAAGAGUCUUAUUGGAAAGUGCCUACUUACCUUCGGUAAUCUAAUAAUCUAUAGUAGUAGGGUCAAGUAAUUUUUUAUGAUACAGCCUUUAAUCAUCUAUCAAUUACUACGUUUAAUUACAGCUGAGCUGCUGAGAUGUAUAGAGAUCUUCCAGGGGACAAAAUGAACAGCUAUAGCUCUGCACUAUUGCCAAAGAUGCAGCAAUUCCCCUUCUCCACCACCACCUCCCAAUGAAUGAACUGGCUGUAAAAAAAAAAAAAGGUGCUGAGCCCUUUACACAUAAAGCCAAAGAUCUGGUUACGUCAUGACACAUAUCCAUGACAAACUGAAUGAAGAUUACAAGAGACGUUUUUGUGGCUUUUUCUAAUUUACAGCUACUUUGCCCUUCAAUGGUUCUAACUAGCUAGCUACACUAACAGCUGUAGAUAUAUACUUUCUAGGUAAUUGUGAACAUCUAUAUGGGCCAGGACUUUUUUUGAUACCACUGUUGGAGCCUCUGCCCCAGGGAGAAGGGAACACCUUGCCCGGGAGCCAUGAAGGUCUGCUCAGGGCAGGGUGAUCCCAGUGCUGAGCAUUACCUCCCUCAGCAGCACAGUCCAGGUUGUCACGUGCCUAUUGAUCACUUGAACUCUUUUGGGUAGGUCAAUAAAAGUACACAACGUCAAUACCCCCAAGGUAAAAAUUUCAUAAGCCACCAGCCACCCCGAGAAGCUGCAGUUCUCCCUUGACUUCAUACAACAAAUUUUGCUGCGUUCCCUGAAGGCCGCUGUGUCUUGCUGCAACUUGGUGCCUCUAUUUUAAUGCGGGUGGCCUAGCUUCAGAAGGCUUGUCCACUAAUAGCACAGCGAUAGCUUUUCUGAUUCUGCAGGCUAGUACUGCAAGAGUCCAGCUGUUUAUAAAAAGCAAGUAAAUCGAAAUCCAGUGUACUUCACACCAAAUGAAAACUCCUUUUUUUUUUUUUUACCCCUUUCUCUGUGUGUAGGACUCUUCAGUCUAAAACAAAGAUGCAAAGAUGCAUAGAAUGACCUUGCAAAUAAGAUCAGUGUAAUUCAGAGAAUGAAAUUAAUCUGUCAAGCCCUGGCUUGCUUUGUCACUUACCAUCACUGUAGUUUCUUUUCAUCUUCAAUUUUUGCUUCCCUUCAUUAUUUGCUAUGAAGAGUCUUAUUUAGAGGAAGAAACAGAAAGAGGAUUUUAUGCAUCCAUUAUUUAAUGAUGGACUUUUAUCCCGGGGGAAAAUGGGCCAGAAGGAUUCUGAUGGCAGAGUGAAGUGAAUUAAAGAUCAAAAAAUUUCCUACAUUUGGCUGAGAGUUUAUGACUUAAUUUGCAUAACCCUAGUUUUAAUGUCAGUGACUUCUUUCCUGCUCCAUUGUUGGUUUGGUUUUCUUGUUUUCAAAUUUAAUUGCCUGUGUUUUAAUUUUCACAAUUCUGGAGCCAGCAUCCCUGUGAGAUCUAAUUUGAGGACUGUAUUUCCUCUUUGGAAGAUAAAAGACUAUUUCACAAAGAGAAGGAAAAAUCAAGAACAAUGGCAUCUUUGAAAUAACAUACAUUAUUUCUUUUCAGAACAGCAUUUCUCUUCUAGGGCUUCUUGGGAGGGAGUGUUGUCUUGAUAGGAGAUUUGCCUGAAUGCAAUUUUCAGACUCUCACCAAGCAGCACAAAAGGCCAGAAGAGGCACCACAGCAUUGCUCCAACUUGCCUAAGUGGACCUGGGGCACAAGGGGCAGAGGGAGUUUGAGCCUGCUGCACCUCCUCACUGGCUGAUGUUUCAUGGAAAGAGCGGGCUAGCCUGCACAUAGGUCUAUUGUAGCAGCAACUAAAUUAUACCUGCUCAGAGAUGUCUUGAUGUAUUGUAUAUACAGAACUUUAUUUUCCAGACAGAAAUAAUUUUAGGCAUUAAGAGUCAGGUGCCAAAAGUUUUCUAACCUGCUUUUGGCAGUGUACCCUGUGUGCUCUGUGUUGCUGUGUCAAUGCAAAAGAGCCGUACAGCCUGCACCGGCACGGCCCCCCCCAAAAGUUGCAUCAUCGACAAAGCUGCUGAGCACUACGUGAAUGUGGGCCUGGGGGAUGCAGGAUUAUUGCCAGGUGAGGGAGCUGCUUUAAUUCUCGUCAGAAGCUACACGGGCAUCAGCUGCUGGUGAGCAGCAAGGUUUGGGGUGAACCGCAGGGCUGGUGUACUUGUUGCCAAGCCUUUGCCUCCUCACUGCGGGAUGGCAAGUGGGGUGAACAAGCUGGGGGGCUGAGCUGAAGGAUGGACAUCCUCUUGCUUUCACCAAGGGACAAGACAACAGUAUUUAUAUCAGAUUUUACAUCACUUCCAAGAUGUGUCUCAACAAUGCGCUUCCUAUCUUCCUCCUUAUUUCUCCCCAUUUUUACUAAUAAAAUUGUGCCAUACUUCCCUCC